GCUCAUAAAUGCCAGGCAGCCUCCAUCCCUGAGAAAUCUGCAGGGAUCGCUGUAGACACACUCUGCUAGCAGGCUCUUUCACAUCUGAACAUGUCCAAUCAAAAACAAGGUAUCCCACCAGGUGGUGCUCCCUGUGGCCCUCCUGGCACAUGCCCAACUGGUAGUGGCCCCAGUGUCCCUCCUCCUAAAGGGAAACCUG